AUUGAACGCUGGCGGCAUGCCUUACACAUGCAAGUCGAACGGUAACAGGUCUUCGGAUGCUGACGAGUGGCGAACGGGUGAGUAAUACAUCGGAACGUGCCCGAUCGUGGGGGAUAACGAAGCGAAAGCUUUGCUAAUACCGCAUACGAUCUACGGAUGAAAGCAGGGGACCGCAAGGCCUUGCGCGAACGGAGCGGCCGAUGGCGGAUUAGGUAGUUGGUGGGAUAAAAGCUUACCAAGCCGACGAUCGGUAGCUGGUCUGAGAGGACGACCAGCCACACUGGGACUGAGACACGGCCCAGACUCCUACGGGAGGCAGCAGUGGGGAAUUUUGGACAAUGGGCGAAAGCCUGAUCCAGCCAUGCCGCGUGCAGGAUGAAGGCCUUCGGGUUGUAAACUGCUUUUGUACGGAACGAAGAGACUCUGGUUAAUACCUGGGGUCCAUGACGGUACCGUAAGAAUAAGCACCGGCUAACUACGUGCCAGCCGCCGCAGUAAGAC
rnacentral:rRNA from 1 species